UCUCGGCGGCAGCGCCAUUUGUGUUUAGAACAAAGUGAACGUGCGCGGAAAGAGGUCAAACGCCUCAAGGUGACCGCUAUGCAAAUCCUAUACGCCACAAAAGCUAAAGGCCGUCGUCUUCUCUGAAGCCCGUAUCGCUCCUCUUCAAUGCACGUUCGCGUCUGUUGAGAUAAGCCACACGAGAAAGACGCGAGUGACGCUUUUUGACUGCUUGGCUGUGUCUUCCUAUGUCCACGCUCUAUACCACGUACGCCUGUAGUGCUGCUUUUGUCGCUUCCUCGUGUAGUUACGCAAAUAACAACGUCGUUGCUUCCUCUUCCGGCAUCGCGCCCCACCAAUGUUUGUCGCUCGAAUGCCGAUGCAUUCGCGGUUCAUUAAGCGGCAGGAGCACGCGACCGGUGAGGCCGAGUGCUGCAAUGGAUUUGUCCUGGAGCAUUCCGUGGCGAAACAACAACAAUAACAAGAAAUAAAAAAGCGCUUCUGGUUGG